AGGUGGUGUAAAAAUAAACAAAGUAUGGUGAAAUCUUGGAGGUGAGUGGACUGCAUCAAUUAUAUAAUCAACUAAAAGGCAGUGUCACGGGUAUGAAUAGUAAAAUUGCUGUUCAUAGGCUACGCGUACUGACAUCUGGUAUCAUAAAAAAAUGCCAUCGGAUCAGGAAUGAAACGUGAAAUAUAAACGGAAAUUAUCAAUAAUAUGGGGAUUUCGUGUAAAAAG
rnacentral:lncRNA from 1 species